rnacentral:rRNA from 1 species
AUUGAACGCUGCGGCAGGCCUAACCCCUGCAAGUCGCACGGUAACAGGAAGAAGCUUGCUUCUUUGCUGACGAGUGGCGGACGGGUGAGUAAUGUCUGGGAAACUGCCUGAUGGAGGGGGAUAACUACUGGAAACGGUAGCUAAUACCGCAUAACGUCGCAAGACCAAAGAGGGGGACCUUCGGGCCUCUUGCCAUCGGAUGUGCCCAGAUGGGAUUAGCUAGUAGGUGGGGUAACGGCUCACCUAGGCGACGAUCCCUAGCUGGUCUGAGAGGAUGACCAGCCACACUGGAACUGAGACACGGUCCAGACUCCUACGGGAGGCAGCAGUGGGGAAUAUUGCACAAUGGGCGCAAGCCUGAUGCAGCCAUGCCGCGUGUAUGAAGAAGGCCUUCGGGUUGUAAAGUACUUUCAGCGGGGAGGAAGGGAGUAAAGUUAAUACCUUUGCUCAUUGACGUUACCCGCAGAAGAAGCACCGGCUAACUCCGUG